GAGAAGAGGACCACGCGCUGAAAGGAAAUGCAUCAGAGCUGAAAGGAAGCUCAAACUGAAAGUCGCUGGAAGGAGGCGCACCCAAGCUGGAAGGAAGCUCAAGACGAGAGAAGCAGACCUGCACACACAACUGCCCCUUACUGGCUGAAGGCUCUAAAGGUCCUGAAAAGAAGCUGGCUCUGUUUCCCUUCGAUCCAGGAGGAAUAGGAUACAUAAGGCCCGAAGGCUGAAUUGCUUAACAACUUAAAGUGAGACAUAUUGUUCCCACAACUAGCCCUGGAACUCUCCGGUGUUUGUAAUCAAGAAAAGGAAUGGAAAGUGGAGACUGUGACAUGAUCUGAGAAAAAUUAAUAAAGUCAUGGAAAAUACUGGAGCACUUCAACUGGGAUUACCAUCUCCAACUAUCCAGCCAUGGAUAUUAAUAGUAGUAGAGUUAAAGGACUGCUUUUUUAUGUUACCAAUUAGCCAGAAUUCGGAAAACUUCGCUAUGUUUAUGUUUCAAUUGAUACCCUUUCUGCCUGUAUUUUUGCAUCUGUCCAUGCAGGAGAAAAAGCAAAAGAUGUGUGUAAACAUUUUCUGUCAGUUUUUGCAACAAUGGGAGUGCCAAAAAUGAUUCAGAUAAUGGGCCAGGAUAUGUGGCCCAUGCAACCCACUUUUUUUCUACAGUGGGGCAUCCAACAUCUGACUGGUAUACCCCAUUCUCCCACAGGUCAAGCAAUUAUUGAAUGGGAACAAAAAUGUUGUUUUCUCACCUGAGUUGGUAACAUAAGCACAGGAAGUACCAGACAUACUGCUUCUUGGGAAUACCCAAUGUAUGGGGGGCAGGAGGGGUAAGAAAGACAACUACUAAAUUGAUAUUCAACAGAAAAGCAAUACUGGGUAUAUGUGACCGUGUAAGAAGGAUUUUUUUUCUAGAGAUGUUACAUUAUUUAGAGUUACAUUGUAUAGGGGAAAUGAAUGUGGUAUUGAGAUAUACUUGCAGUGAUAAGAAAGCUUACCAGACAAACUUGUAAAAUGCAGACAACCAGACACCUUAGUGCAAAUUAGGUGAAAUUCAUGGUAUCAAGUCAAGCCAGAUAAGGGAAGAAACAUUACCACCCCAAACAGUCAAAAAAAAGUCAAAAGAAAUUUGAAAAAUAACAGGCUGGCAACUGAAAGCCAUGUAUUAUCUGUGAAGCAUUGGAUAGGUUGUGAACCUGGACUACCAAGUCAAUGGGGAAGCAGGGGAGGGUCCCGGUCGCCAAGAAAUAAAGUAUAUAAACUUUA